rnacentral:rRNA from 1 species
UACGUAGGGUCCGAGCGUUGUCCGGAAUUACUGGGCGUAAAGCGCGCGCAGGCGGCCCGCGAGGUGUCACGUGAAAGCCCCGGGCUCAACCCGGGAGGGUCGUGGCAAACCGGCGGGCUUGAGGCCGGUAGAGGUGGGUGGAACUCCUGGUGGAGUGGUGAAAUGCGUAGAGAUCAGGAAGAACACCCGUGGCGAAGGCGGCCCACUGGGCCGGUACUGACGCUGAGGCGCGAAGGCGUGGGGAGCCAACGGG